rnacentral:lncRNA from 1 species
AGCUUACAUCACUUAGCAUAAUGCUUUCAAGGUUCAUCCAUGUUGUAGCAUGUAUCAAAUUUCAUUACUUUUUAUGGAUGAUUCACAUUCCAUUGUAUGUAUAUGCUAUACCACAGUUUCUUUAUCCAUUCAUCUGUGGAUGGACAUGUGGGUUAUUUCUAUCUCUGGACUUAUGCGAAUAAUGUCACAAUGAACGUUGGUAUACAUGUAUCCGAGUUCUUGUUUUCAAGUUUUGGGGGUAUAUACCUAGGAAUCAAAUUGCUGGGUCAUAUGGUGAUUUAAAGGAGGGGCCUUAAAAGCUUAUUUAUUCUGAUUCCUUCAUCCUAGACUUGCAGUCAAGAUGCCUGCCCCCCAGUCUCCUCAGGCCACCUAGCUCCCAGUUCCCAGUAAGCUCCUUUCCCUAAGCCAAUGGAUCAACAUGCUGUGCAAUGGAUCUUGAAGACUUAUUCCUCCUGCCUAACUGAAACUUUGUACCCUUUGACCAACAUCCAUCUGAUUUAAAGUGGGAGUGAACUGAGUACAUAGACAUUGGGGACUCCUUGAGGACAGAGACUAAGUCUUGCACAUCUCGGUAUUCUCAAUGCCCAACACAAUAGAUUGUACCUAUAAGAUGCUAAAUAAAUGCUUUUUGGUUAGAACUGUUUGGGCUGGGUGGUCUUUGCUUAGAGAAUAGAGACAGUUGUGAGAAUAGGAGAUAAAUGUGAAUUCCAGAGGCUUACAGAUUUAGAGCUAGAUUAGUCUUGAAAACAAUUUGCAAAGUAAAAAUUUCCCAGGACUUGGGGAAAGCAGGAAGACAUGCAUAUCAUAGAGCUUCCCAUUAAUAGAACAUUUGUUGAAAAUCAUAAUGUUCUGAGUCAGAGUCCCUGUUUUGUCAGAGAACACAUAUUUGACUUGGCCGAGCUCCUCAGUAAGGGUGGUAGUACGAGCCUGUGCUGGUGUGUUCCUUGGUGCAUAAAACAUCUUCCGAUCCCAGUUGAUAUAUAAACUGUUGCCCAAUCUUAUUAUUUCAACACUAAGGAGAAAGCAGAAAAAGAAUGGUUCUGCGUCAGAACAGGACAAGCAAAUAUAUCAUCCUGGUUUCUUUCUUAGCAGGGCUAAGCAUCUGAAAAUCAGAGUGUCUUCCUUGGGAUUCUACCCUUCUGAAGGACCCUUCCCACCAGCCAACCCAUUGUAAUGCUGACUUUGGCCAUUAUCACCCAAGGCUUUACCACCUGGACCCAGAUAUACUUGAUUAACUUUUUUGAGUCAUACCUGGCUUUUAUUCUUUUUUUUUUUUUCCAUAAUGUAUCCAGGAAAAGUUACAAUUUUGGAAUUUCUGCAGUAAUGCAAGGUGUGAUAGAGUAACAGUUAACUUAUAAAAGGCUGUGUUGGCCCAAUUGGAGGAUUAUUGCUCCUGUCACAUGGGGAAGACAGAGAACCUUGACACACUCAGAGUUUAUUUCAGAAGAAGGAAAGAAGCUAUGAAAAUCAGGAAUAGUUUAUGGGCUGACCCUCUGAUAAAUUUCCAGGCAGAGCCAGCCUGCCUGUGGUGUGUCUCCUCCCACAACAACCUCUUCUCAUUUUAUAUAAGUUUUCCCUAUUGCCUCUGUCAUACUCCUCUUCUGCUCCAAAUAGCGUCC